UUGGGCGGUGAGUGUGUAAUUUGCUACAGCUUCUCUGAAACCACACAUUGAUUUGAGUGACUACAUGUGCAAGAAGGAGGGAGAAGAACAAGAGAACAACAUUCUAGAACCAUCUAUAAGCUCACGGAAGUCAAGCACUAACAGUUACGCAGGAGAGAGUAACUUGUGCGUUUGUCGAAUGUUUGUUUGCUCAACCGUGUGUCUGUUGAGGCAGGAAGCAGACAUCGCAAGGAAAGGUUGUGUGUUUGUAUGCAUGUUGACAUGACGAAACCAGCACUCAUCAAACUCUUCAUAUUGGUCAUCCUCGCCUUCAUCAUCUGCCUACCAGAAUUCUUCAUUACAACCAGAGCAGUGUUGAGAGUGAACCUCCACUGUCACCGCUAUGAUCCCUGUGAUGGGCUGGGCAGUGGAGAGAGGGCGGAUGAGGGAAGGGGGGAAAGUGGGAUGGGGGACCUGUGUGACUCCCCUCUGGUCCCAGGAGGUCAGGGUGGCAUGGCUUCUGAGAAGCCUCUCUGCUUCAUGAACAAUACAAACAGGAAGAGAAACAGGAAGAGUACAAUAACCACCAGUGACCAUGCAGACACCAAUGCAGACACCGGCUGGUAUAUGUGUGACAUGGAUGUGGACUUCCUGGAUCUCCAUGGCAAUGCCUCUCUCUCAGGUGAGAGUGUAGAGUUGUGGAUGGUGGUCCAGCCAGUCAACGUGACCCUCUACAGCCAUGUCAAGCAUGGCUCUAUCCUCAACACACCAGAGGACCAGAAAGAGGAAGAGGAGACAGUGAGAUUAUUAAACUGCUGCCUUCCAGGCUUACAUACUUACAAAUCAACCAAUCACAGUAAGUGUCUACUCCAAAUGACCAAUCAGAAGAUCCUGGAGUCCCAGACACAGUCACAGACACACCCUCAGAGAAAUGAGGGUUGGUGUGUGUACAGGGUGCUGUAUCUGGCUCUGCCCUGUGUCGCCCUGCUACUGGUCUUCACCUUCAUCCUGAGUCAGGUAGAAUGGAAGAAGUUCUGCUGCCACAGUUCUCAGAGAAACCCAAUGUCUUCCCUGCCAGACUCUACAAAGCAAGAGCACACAUAAUUGAUGAAAGGGGGCUGAAGAUAAAGAUGGCCACUACUCUCAAUGGCAAGUGCUUUGGUUACAUUAAACUUCAUUCUACUGAUCAAAUUCAAACAAAUCUAUCCUAAGGAUAGGCAUGUUCAAAUACCUUGUUCAAUCUCUGUAAGGUGUCUUGCCGUCCAAUAGGUGGCUCAACCAGUGUCUACGAGUCCCAUUGUCCAAUAAGAGACCUCGACAGUGACUACGGAUCCCGUUGUCCAACUCUAUCACCCAUUCAUGAGUCUGCAG